ACUGACUCUCGGUCGCCAUGGCUACGGCAACCCGGACCACGGGGAAAUGUAGAGGCCCCAUGAAACUUCAGGAAUCAAAAGUCCUAUCCAGAAACAGCCUUCUUUUCAGGGGAAAGGAAUAAAGAGUGAAUUGAGUGAGGCAGCCUUUCCAGAAGACCUCAGACAAACCUAAUCUGCACUCAGGCAUAUGGAAAAAGGUCAUGUGGAACCUGGCAAGGAGCUGAAGGGCUACUGCAAAGGGGUCUAAUCUGAAUGCUCGCCAAACUCAAGUCUCCAAUCCAACUCAGUCAUUUCAGACAGAAUACAUGGGAAAAGACUCCGGGAAUUCCACGGAGAAGUCCUGCCUUAUAGAAAUCAUGAAGCUGAAUCAAGUGAUAUACUGAAGUCAUUUCACCAUAUGGCUAUUGGGCCAUGCAUUGUCUAAUGAUGCACUUAUGAACCAAGAAAUAUAAAACUGCAUCAAGAAGCAUAUUUCAGGAUAUGAAAAAAUAUCAACUGUAAGACUUGGAUUUAACAUGGAUGUCACUACAGGAUCCUUGAACAUUUUGCCAACAUCACUUGAGUCAUAUUGAACAUUAAAUGAUCAAUCAAUCAGA